rnacentral:rRNA from 1 species
CAGUAGCCGCGGUAAUACGAAGGGGGCUAGCGUUGCUCGGAAUGACUGGGCGUAAAGGGCGCGUAGGCGGUUCGCACAGUUGGAUGUGAAAUUCCUGGGCUUAACCUGGGGGCUGCAUUCAAUACGUGCGGGCUAGAAUGUGGAAGAGGGUUGUGGAAUUCCCAGUGUAGAGGUGAAAUUCGUAGAUAUUGGGAAGAACACCGGUGGCGAAGGCGGCAACCUGGUCCAUAAUUGACGCUGAGGCGCGAAAGCGUGGGGAGCAAACAGGAUUAGAUACCCCAGUAGUCCCUGUCUCUUAUAC